UCCCAAGAACUUGGACUUCAUUCAAGCUACUUGACAAAAGCCCUUUUCUCUCAUUUGGAGGGUGAGAUUUAUGGAAGUGGCUGCAGAGCCUCUGUAUUCAAAGCUAGUGAAAAAAUGUUACCUUCCGCAGGACUUUGAAACCUUCGUGAUUUAUAAUCAGUGCCUUAUUUUGAAGAAUCCUUUUUUAUGCUGAAGGUCACAGGUAAAUAUUGCUGGAAAAAGCAAUAAAAAUAUUUUUAAAAGGCAAUUAAAAAAAUUUAAAGACCAGUAAAAGUAAAUAUUGCUGGAAAAAGAAAUCAAAUGGAAAAUAGCACAUUUUGUAGGAGUGUCAUAUGAUCUGUCUUGCUAAAUUAUACCAGAAACAGUCUGAUGAAGCAUGAAAUUUGCAUGGUUUACAGACCUAACUAUUUUUUGAUACUGUAGGCACCUAAUAGACUUUCAACAGCAUUUUAUAGGCUGUUCACUUUGAUUUGCUUCAUAAAUUGCAAAAGCUGUCCGUUAUUGUUAAAUGUGCAUGUUCUCUGUGGUAAAGUAGAAUGCUGAUCAAAUUGAUGUCUUUAAGCAGAAUUCUUUGUGGUUUAAGUAGAAUUCUCUGUAUCUUUAAGCAGAAUUCACUGUCCCUGUCCCUUCCUUUGAUCUCUGUUGCAGAUGGAACCGGGUAGCAUCAUUCUCACCUUUAACCCCUCUUUUGAGUGUAAAAAGAUGCUAUCAGUUGUGUUAAGCAGAUGUUGCUCGAUGUUUGUGGAAAGCUUUUGUGUUUUACAACCAGUUUGGCAAUUGUCUAAGAUGAUGUCUUCUUUGGCACUCAACCUGGGGUUCUGGGAGCGCUGAACUGAACUCUGCUGGAAACUGAAUAUAGGGUACCUCACCAAACAACCAUUAGAGAAAACCAGAGAUGCUGAAGAGGAACCCACACCUCCUCACAGGCAGUGGCACACCUUGUGCAAGCUAAACAAUUAUGCAAUAGCUAGGUGGUAACUAUGUAUUAAAUAAGUGGGUUUAUGUAGAUUUCGAUGUGUAAAUUCUCUCAGUUUUCACUCCUUGGUGUAUUUGAUUUGUGGAAAACUUCCACCUUGCACCCUGAUCAGAAUAAACAAUGUCUCCUUUCUAAACAUGACUGUUUGUCCAUAUCUAGAGAGUUCCAAAAAUUGGCAACAAAAGCAGUAAAUCGAUUAACAGCUUAGAAGCCUUUGCAGAAGAAUUAAAUUCUUUUAGGUGCUGCCCAAGCAUUGAAAGAGGAGAAGACGGAAUCUGCUCCAGCCAAGCCAUCCGGGCCUGUUGCAGAAACAUUCAGAGUUAUUCAGGGGGCCAUGACAGAAGAGAAUGUGAGAAGUACUCAGGGCGUCUUUCAGUUUGAAUUAUCUGGUGACGGUGGAGGCACGUGGUAUAUCGACCUGAAGAACAAGGGUGGGAGCACUGGCUUUGGAAAGCCCCCUGGGACAGCUGAUGUGGUUAUGAGCAUGUCGAGUACUGACUUUGUGAAAAUGUUCACAGGUGAGGGACAAAGGCCUCUGUCAGACCGGUGCCCAGAAAACCUUCUGCUGAUGGGGGAGGAGACUGGCAUCUCGCUUUCUGAUCUGGGAUGGAGGAGCUUUCAGCUUUUUGUGGCUCAGGAGAAAGUACAGGCCAGAAGUGCUUGCAUUUUUCUGGACUCCUGUGUUUUGUGAACAGGAAGAGAACAAAAGCUUACUCUUCUUUUAUUAACCAGCUAUUGACAUUUUAGCAGCCAGCGUAGCUUCAGAAAGAAUCCAGUCAAUGUGUUGUAUUUGUGUUCUGCACAGCUCUACGCAGUGUUUCCUAAAUGUGCACUGCUUUUACAAGAGGACUUGGUAGGAAAAUAACCUGAUUUCUUUCAUCUCCCCUGAGACAUCUGAGUUAUAUGGUCUUUUCUCCAUUAAAAUCAGUCAUAAUCUAAUGAUUUCCCUAAGUAAUAGGAUACAACUGGCUCUCUUAAAGAGUGUUUUCUGGCUCCAGAAAAGGUAGGUAUUGGUGAAGUUCUGUUGGACAAGAGGCAGUAUCAGAACUUUCACAACGUUAAAUUGCUACACUUCUUUGUAAGUGUGAUUUUCGCAUUUAUCGCUAUUCAAAACAGUUCUGAACCUUCUUUAGCAAGCUUCAAAAUGAAGUCAGAAGAGAACAGAUUAUUCAUGAAAAAAGAAGUUAUCCAUUAAGUUAAUCAUUAUAAUCAGGACCUCAAAAUACUUCUACAAAUGAACUGGAAAAGUAAAUUCUAUUUUAAUUAAUCAGCCUCAUCAUUUUCAGCAAAGGGCUUUAAUAUUGUGAAAUGUAGAUAGAUAGAUAAAUACAUUGUCAGACUGAGAGAUUUUAAUUGUAUGAGAUUUAAUUGCAGUGUCUGAUUUUUACCACAUGGAUAAAACUAUGAAGUAUAUUCCAAAGUAGAAUUUCUAAAGAACUUGAAGAUCUUACUCUAAAGAUAUUACUGUUUCUUCUGCACAGCCUGUAUCCAGGUCCUUUCCAUUUUCUAAUGAUUCCUUUUCUCUUUUUAGAUAAGCUAAAGCCAUUCAUGGCUUUCGUGUCAUGAAAUUCUAGUGUUAAUGGUGACACAGUUCUACCGUCAAGUCUGCCACAGAUAAAUUUUGAACACUAGCAGAAAUACUGGCCUUUCAUAUAUAACUACAAUGCUUUUUUAAAGUGCCAGUCGUCAUUUCUUUUUUAUGGAGUAUAAGUAUUCAAUAGAUUUUAUAAUUUUUAGAGAAGUUGCAACUCAGUUUGAAUAUAAUAUCCAACAGCGAACAUUUUUAAUAACUUGCUGUAAUGAUUAAAAUAAAAACUAUGUCCCAAAAUUCUGAUGUUUCAAGCUUAUAGGAACUGACCACCCCUAUCAGAUGUUAUUAAAAAAGGCUGAUGAUUUCAAGCUAUUGGAAAACACAGUGUAUGUGCUUGCAUGAAAAAUAUGGCUACAUAUAUUUUAUUUCUUUAGGGAGCCACCUUGAAAUACUUGAAAUACAUCUUUUGAAAUCUACUGCUUCUAGAAAACAUUUUUCAAGUGAACAUAUAUAUUCAAAGUACAUUUUCAAAUGCCGCCCUGUGACACUUAAAAAACUGAAGCAGAUGAAAGAACUUGGGUAUCGGGAGCAACCCUGUUUGAUUUCAUACCUAUUUCAUAAGCAGCCCCAUGUCUUUGCAAUUUUCCUUUCUGUGCAACUUUUCUGCCAACGAAUUUUUGUUUUUCAGGGUUACUGGGGUGGAGGGGAAAGGUGUGCAGCAUCCAGUACAACAUUAACUGUGUCCUAGCACCUGAAGACAGAAUGUGUUUAUUUGCUUCCCUGCCUAUGUGGGUAGUUAAUGGUGCAUGAGCUUCUUGUGUAGUCAGUAACAAUGGUCUUGCAUAACAUGUUUGAUAACUGUAGUGUCAUUUGGCGAGGUACUGUGAUGCCUGUGACACCUAGAGAAAAGCAUCAUCUUCAGAAGAAAAGUGCUUUUGUUUCAGAUGGAUCCAGAGCUGCACAACCUGCCUCCAACUGGCCACUGUGUUUCUUCUCUCUCUAACAUAUCAGUAGUGGUGCUUGCAUGGUGGAGGAGUGGGAGCUCACCAGGCUCAGAAUCUUUAGAAUAAGUGGUGUGGUGGCUGUGCCUCGCCAUGGGUACUGUGGGACCCAGUGAUCCAGAGUGUUAGGGAUAUUUGAUCCUUGCAUUACAAAUUUUCAUAUUAUGCCAUUUCUGGAAUUUUCGCUGUAAAAAAAAGACAUGACUGAAAAACGAGCCAGUCCACUGUGCACUGUGAGGACAAGACCUAGAAUGGGUGCUACAGUAGAGGAAUUACUGCAGGUAUUCACAUUCUGCAGAGGAUUUUUACAUGAGGUCAAAACUGUGUUGCUUUUUAAUCCAUUGCUCACUUCACAGCUUUUGAAGCCCAUAAAAAUGAAGUGGCUAAACAAACUGUGAUGGUUUUGCUACUGUGGGUAACUGUUUUUCUGGAUGAUGGUAAAGCUACAGGUUUUCUGGGUGAUGAUAAGGAACAGAACAGCUCCAGGACCUAUGUAAGGCACAGACACGAUCUGUUUGCUGCUGACGGUAGUGAGAAGGACUGAUGGCUCAUCCAUCACACUGGAAGGAGAUGUAAACUCAUGCCUCGUGUUCUCAAGGGCUUUGUUUCGAUGUCUUUUCUCCCACGUCUUCAGCACAGUUCCAGCUCCUCCGGCGGAGUUUAGAGAGGCGCCGGGACCGACGGAGCGGCCGCUGCCAGCAGAGGGAGCAGGCAGCCCACUGCAGAGCGUUGCCUUUGGACACCCAGCGCUUCCGAGUGCUGCCAGCGUUGCGCAGGCAUCCUAAAGGGCCAAACUCGCCAAAGUGCAGCAAUAUCUUUCCUGCUCAAAGCAGGGGUCAAGUGUGGGAUGGGGUAGGAUACGCAGAUUUGGGGCAGCAUCAAAAUCUGCGUCUGUGCCUUGCAGCCUCUCAUCUCCCUACCCCUUCUUUUGGUACAGUCCCUGCUCCAGAAGGGGAGGGUGUACUUCUAGGUGACAGAGCACUAGGACUUGUCAUUCUUAUCUCUCCCACUAAAAUAAUCAGCGAGGGUGUAAUGCUUUGUUGUCAGGGACAGCCUUGGUUUGCAAGAAUAUUGGCCUGGAUGCUUAAAACUUUGACAAAAAUUAAACCCACUGAACCUCAGUCCAUAUAAUGGAGUGUUCCUUAAUCUUAGUUCUGUGCAGCAUUCUAUCCUGGAACAAGAUGUCGCUUUAUAUAACAAAGCUAAGCUUUAACUAACUAAAUAUAAUUAGCUCAAGCAAUAA